UUUCUUGAGGAGGGAAGACAAGUCCCUUGAGGGGAAAUUAGGCAAAUUGUGUGCCUGUUCCAGCCAGGCAGGCUCCAAUCCUCUGCAGGGAAAUUAACUUGUCACCCACUUGGCUGUCACUUGUGCUCUUUUCACAGCCUCUUGCAUUGUGGCCUCAUUACAGCCAUAGGAAGAUGUGAACGCACAAGUGCUUGCACCCCAGCACUUGAAGUUCUUCUGGUCCUUUCCAGAUGCAGCUUUGGCUAUUCCCACAAAAGAAACAAAAGAAGAUUAUAGGCCAGGGGAGCCAUGAGGUUUCAAGAGAGUCUAUUGAUGAGUGAAGUUGGAAGGAGUUGACACACGGGAAACCACCCUCCGAGAUGGCAGCGUCUUCUCUGUUGACAGUGUCUUCUCUUUACUCCAAGUGGUUCAGCAAGACCUGGUCAAUCUACUGUUCUACUGUUGUAUGACCAAGAUCACAUGAUUCCACAGACUUACGGAUGUUUCUGGAAGCAGGAAUGAGCUCUUCUGGAUCCCUGAUAUUAUAGACAGUGGUGUAAUAACUUUAUGAGAUUAGACAUGCUUCCUCCCAGGGUGUGUGGGGGGACUGUGUCAUCCUGAUAAUUAUACCUUUCUAUUGAUUAUUUCUUCUCACCUGAGAGCUUUGCCCUUCUUCAGGGUCUCUUUUCACAAAUCACUUCAAGACUCAGUAUGGUUUGAUGGUCCAUGUUCAAACCCCAGCUCUACCACUACUUACUGUGUCAUCUCAGAGGUGAUAAAGCACCUGUCCGGGUUGCAGAAGGUGAAGAUCUGCGUAUGAAACUUGCCCACAAAGAGAGCAGUUGAGAGGACUGAGGAAAUCUUAUGUGGGAACUUGAGAAUAGAAUGGAGAAGCCCAGGCUGGAGGUGAGAUGGGGAGGAUAAGAACUCUACAUACCAGUUAUGACCUCAGCUGGACUCCCAGAGAAGAACAAGAGGAGGGGUUGUUGGUUAAAGGUGAAAAUAACCUAUGAUUUGAAGGCUGGGCAGAUCUGAGCUCAAAUUUCACCACUAUAAGCCAUUUGGGAAAAUCACUACAUCUUUUUGUAUUUGAGGGUAGUCUGUUUGUGUUUUAUUUAUUUAUUUUUGUCACCUGGGGUUCAUUGCUCUUGGGUCAACAUUUUCAUAUAGAAAGAGAAAGGCAGAGAAGAAAUGACAUCACAGCAAUGCAGCUUCCCCCAACAUGGUGAGGGCCAGGCAUGAACCUGGGUCAAGUGGAAAGAUCAUAUUUUUUGUCCAUAUCUUAAUAUGAAUCACAGGGAAGUUUGUGAAGAGGAAAUGAAGGUUUUAGACAUUGUCCAGAGCAUAAUUUAUGAACCCAGUAAACAACAACUUUUAUGAGUAAUAGAAUGGUGGCCUAACUCAAAUACUUACCAGCUAAGAGAUAACAAUAAAAUACUUAAAGACUCUCUGAGCUCCAGUCCAGCUUACUUAUCUGUAAAUUUUAAUGAUACUACCUAUUUUUACACAAUAUUUUGUGGGCCAAAGAGCAGGUACUCAAGUUCUUUUACUAUUACUGUUGUUUUGAGGAAGUUGAUCUUCUGGUGCAGGUCCCAAAUAAAUAACCAUGAAACAAUGAUCCAAAUGAAAAGUUAAGUGGAUCAUUAUGUAUAGAGAGUCCCCAGAAGGAAUAGGUGCCAGUUCUCUCACCGAUGGUGGGAAGUUGCAAAGUGACUUUGCCUGCCAAGUUAUUUGCUUCCUAGCAGAGAAAACAAUACAUGGAAUUGGUCAUAAAGCCUGGAUUCUCACUAUUUACUGAGAAAAACCUGAUGUCAGGAUUUGCAACACAAGGUCCUGGUCCAGAACAGGGAACUCUGCCAGUUCACAGACAAAGGCUCUUUUGGUUUCUGAGCUGGCCUUGAACAAGUGCCCACCGUGGGGCCUUCCUUCAAGUAUCUUGUGACCAUCUUCAGAUAGACUGGCAUUGUGUCCCAUCCACAACUUUGUGAGGAUACAGAAGCAGUCACAUUUUCACUACCAAAUAUCCAAAUAAGCCUCAUCAAUACCAAAGGCAUGCUUUGCCCCAAGGGAGAAACAGAUGUUGUGUAUCACAGAAAAGACACUGGACAAGAAGCUCACCAGUUAGUCUUGUCCCCUCACUGGUUC